ACGAUGAAGCCCAGCUUGCUGGGUGGAUUAGUGGCGAACGGGUGAGUAACACGUGAGUAACCUGCCCUUGACUCUGGGAUAAGCGCUGGAAACGGCGUCUAAUACCGGAUACGACCUGCCCCGGCAUCGGGUGCGGGUGGAAAGUUUUUCGGUCAAGGAUGGACUCGCGGCCUAUCAGGUAGUUGGUGAGGUAAUGGCUCACCAAGCCGACGACGGGUAGCCGGCCUGAGAGGGUGACCGGCCACACUGGGACUGAGACACGGCCCAGACUCCUACGGGAGGCAGCAGUGGGGAAUAUUGCACAAUGGGCGAAAGCCUGAUGCAGCAACGCCGCGUGGGGGAUGACGGCCUUCGGGUUGUAAACCUCUUUUAGUAGGGAAGAAGGGCUUCGGCUUGACGGUACCUGCAGAAAAAGCACCGGCUAACUACGUGCCAGCAGCCGCGGUAAUACGUAGGGUGCAAGCGUUGUCCGGAAUUAUUGGGCGUAAAGAGCUCGUAGGCGGUUUGUCGCGUCUGCUGUGAAAACCCGAGGCUCAACCUCGGGCCUGCAGUGGGUACGGGCAGACUAGAGUGCGGUAGGGGAGAAUGGAAUUCCUGGUGUAGCGGUGGAAUGCGCAGAUAUCAGGAGGAACACCGAUGGCGAAGGCAGUUCUCUGGGCCGUUACUGACGCUGAGGAGCGAAAGCGUGGGGAGCGAACAGGAUUAGAUACCCUGGUAGUCCACGCCGUAAACGUUGGGAACUAGAUGUGGGGACCUUUCCACGGUCUCCGUGUCGCAGCUAACGCAUUAAGUUCCCCGCCUGGGGAGUACGGCCGCAAGGCUAAAACUCAAAGGAAUUGACGGGGGCCCGCACAAGCGGCGGAGCAUGCGGAUUAAUUCGAUGCAACGCGAAGAACCUUACCAAGGCUUGACAUAUACCGGAAACUUCCAGAAAUGGUUGCCCCGCAAGGUCGGUAUACAGGUGGUGCAUGGUUGUCGUCAGCUCGUGUCGUGAGAUGUUGGGUUAAGUCCCGCAACGAGCGCAACCCUCGUUCUAUGUUGCCAGCACGUCAUGGUGGGAACUCAUAGGAGACUGCCGGGGUCAACUCGGAGGAAGGUGGGGAUGACGUCAAAUCAUCAUGCCCCUUAUGUCUUGGGCUUCACGCAUGCUACAAUGGCCGGUACAAAGGGCUGCGAUACCGUAAGGUGGAGCGAAUCCCAAAAAGCCGGUCUCAGUUCGGAUUGAGGUCUGCAACUCGACCUCAUGAAGUCGGAGUCGCUAGUAAUCGCAGAUCAGCAACGCUGCGGUGAAUACGUUCCCGGGCCUUGUACACACCGCCCGUCAAGUCAUGAAAGUCGGUAACACCCGAAGCCAGUGGCCUAA
rnacentral:rRNA from 2 species